ACGGCAUUUAAUAAAUCACACGCGGUAUCUGCGAAACAGUGGUCGAGAUUGGUCUUCCCGGCUUCACUGGCUGUAAUCCAUUGAUGGUUCUUGCCUUUGCCUGCAACAAUUGGUGUCUAACUAACGGACUAGAUAAAAAUAAUUGCUCUAAGAUUCAAAUCAACAAGCAUUCUGACUUGGAAGAUUUGUUGAAUUAAUAUGAAGUCACAUCUAAAGUUUGCAAGAGAUGGGGUCUCACUAUGUUGCCCAGGCUCGUCCUGAACU